UAGAAGGCUCUCCUGAGAGCCACCUAAUUUCUACAAAGGGUGGAUAU
rfam:Balearica pavonina gibbericeps contig66272, whole genome shotgun sequence.